GAGAGCACAGUACGAUGAAAGUUGUAAGCUGUGUUCGGGGGGAAUUAUUGUCUAUCGUUGGCCUCUAUGGUAGAAUCAGUCGGGGACCUGAGAGCGGUGGUUUACCCUGC
rfam:Ipomoea nil DNA, scaffold: scaffold0140, cultivar: Tokyo-kokei standard.